rnacentral:rRNA from 1 species
UGCAGUCGAGCGGAUGAGAGGAGCUUGCUCCUGGAUUCAGCGGCGGACGGGUGAGUAAUGCCUAGGAAUCUGCCUGGUAGUGGGGGACAACGUUUCGAAAGGAACGCUAAUACCGCAUACGUCCUACGGGAGAAAGCAGGGGACCUUCGGGCCUUGCGCUAUCAGAUGAGCCUAGGUCGGAUUAGCUAGUUGGUGAGGUAAUGGCUCACCAAGGCGACGAUCCGUAACUGGUCUGAGAGGAUGAUCAGUCACACUGGAACUGAGACACGGUCCAGACUCCUACGGGAGGCAGCAGUGGGGAAUAUUGGACAAUGGGCGAAAGCCUGAUCCAGCCAUGCCGCGUGUGUGAAGAAGGUCUUCGGAUUGUAAAGCACUUUAAGUUGGGAGGAAGGGCAGUAAAUUAAUACUUUGCUGUUUUGACGUUACCGACAGAAUAAGCACCGGCUAACUCUGUGCCAGCAGCCGCGGUAAUACAGAGGGUGCAAGCGUUAAUCGGAAUUACUGGGCGUAAAGCGCGCGUAGGUGGUUCGUUAAGUUGGAUGUGAAAUCCCCGGGCUCAACCUGGGAACUGCAUUCAAAACUGUCGAGCUAGAGUAUGGUAGAGGGGUGGGUGGAAUUUCCUGUGUAGCGGUGAAAUGCGUAGAUAUAGGAAGGAACACCAGUGGCGAAGCGACCACCUG